rnacentral:rRNA from 1 species
UACGGGGGGAGCAAGCGUUGUUCGGAUUUACUGGGCGUAAAGGGCGCGUAGGCGGUCAGCACAAGUCAGUUGUGAAAUCUCCGGGCUUAACCCGGAAAGGUCAACUGAUACUGUGCGACUAGAGUGCGGAAGGGGCAACUGGAAUUCCCGGUGUAGCGGUGGAAUGCGUAGAGAUCGGGAAGAACAUCAGUGGCGAAGGCGGCCUGCUGGGCUGUUGCUGACGCUGAGGCGCGACAGCGUGGGGAGCAAACAGG